AGAAAAAGAUCCAAAACAAAAUUAUACACUCAGCACAAAAACAGAUGGAGUUUGCCAAGAAGGUAAAACAGACGACUUAAAUGUAACUCUUCACCACAGCUGCAGAAACCACGCUACUCAGAGACCCAAGUCCAGAACCACUUGAAAACCUAUGCAAUCUCAUUUUUAAUUAGGGUUUUAGUUAGCACAUUAGCAGAAGUGCUAUGUCAAUACACAAGCAGUAUUAUACAUAGCCAGUAGAAGUGGGUUUUGGAAGAAGAUACUCUAAAAUUAUUGCUUAACCAUGGCACUUAAAAGCUGUUGAUUUUAUCUGGCACCUAAGUAUCUUGUUUGGACCAUACUUGUAUUUUCUUAGGACAUCUAAUCUCAGAAUUCAGACCAUCUUUACAAAGAAAAAUCCCAUCAAAUACCAGUGAAUAGCUUACUCACCCCAAAAGGCAGUAGCUUAAGACAGACAAGCACAGUACUGUACAGGGCUGAGACUAAAGUCCCAUUUGAAGACUGCAAGAUGUCUGUUCCACAGGCUAGUGACUUGCAUGAUUUCUUAACUCACUCUUCUCCUAGAAGAGUACUGAUUUUAGGACUGACUGAAUAUUAGCGACACAGAAAAGUACCCACUUGGACUGACGUGCUUUAGUUUGAGAUUUGAAUCUGUGAUAUUCUGUGACCCCAUCUAGGUUACACAAAGGCAGUAUCUUUGCCAAGAGGUAUAUCUCCAGACUGCUUCCUGAGAAGAAAGCAGCAGGAUUCCUGCCACGUUACUUAACCAGUGCUUUAUCUUACUUAUCUUUCAGAACUGCACAAUUUCUUCUGUUCUUCCAGAACUUGUCUCCAUGAAAACCUAAUGCACCAACAAGGUUAAGAAUGUGUCUUUUUGCAAGAGCAAGACAUAACAUACAUGCAUGCAUUUAGGGGCUAUAUUUUUCUGUUACAGAAUACUGCACUUGGUUCUAUCCAUUCUCACCAGAUAUACUGCCAUCCUAAAACCCAGUCAGCUCACCAGAGGCAAGAUGCAGUGAUUAAGGGUCAGAAUUAAGCCUCACUUCCAAAUUCUAUCAAUCACCGGCCUUAACAUACCACACUAUGCAACUCCAGCCAAAUUAGUUUAUUUGUUCCUUAAAGUUAGGAACAAAUA
rnacentral:lncRNA from 1 species